rnacentral:rRNA from 1 species
GUAUGGGGAUCUGCCCGAUAGAGGGGGAUAACUACUGGAAACGGUGGCUAAUACCGCAUAAUGUCUACGGACCAAAGCAGGGGCUCUUCGGACCUUGCACUAUCGGAUGAACCCAUAUGGGAUUAGCUAGUAGGUGGUGUAAAGGCUCACCUAGGCGACGAUCUCUAGCUGGUCUGAGAGGAUGAUCAGCCACACUGGGACUGAGACACGGCCCAG